AAGGUUACGUAUAUGAAGUGGCUAGCCAAAGCGGAAAAAAUAGCUAUGACGCGUAUGAUAAGAUGGCUGAGGAAAUAUUCAAAGUUAACCUUUUAUCCCGGGCCAAGAAAGACAGGGGAAAAGAUUCGAAAAAUUUGAAUUUAUCGUUGGACAAGCUGGUCGAACUGAAGGAUUAUCGAUUGAUAAGUCAAUUUAGUACGAAAGACUUGAAGGAUUGGUUGAAGAGACACGACGUCAAAGGGUAUUCCAAAUUGAAAAAAGAUGAACUGAUAAAACUCCUGC